GCUUCCUGUAUGAGGAGGCACUUGCUUCCUGUAGGAGGAGGCACCAACAGAUGCUGUUUGGUGGCACUUGGCACAUAAAGAGAUACUUCCCAAAGAUAAAACCCUGGCCAGGAGCUUUAAGACUAUAAUAAAACUGUAAGAUUGUUAAGUAGUCAAGAUGAAAAAUGAUCUUUUCCUAGUAUUUUUAUGGUCCCUCAGAACGAGUGGGCCCCUGAUAACACCGCUGCCUCCUGCUGCCCGGGCUGGGUCUUCAUUGCCUCCUUGAUGGAAACUCGGGUGUUGCUGUGGAAUUGAGAUGCUGUAAACACAGGAUCCAGUGAUGGCUUUCGGUGUGCAUGCUGCCCUGUUGCCUUCCACUGUGUGAGUCAGGGCAGGUCUGUGACCCACAUGCUGUGGUGGAAGGGACCUGGGCCUGUGGCUGUAGAAGGCCUGGCCACCUCCUACAGAUAGAGCUCCUAUUUGUGCUCUGGGAGUGCUGAGCUGCCAUGUAAUUAAAAAGUCCACAUGGAGAGGCCACGAAGAGAGGCAGAGACCCUGAGAUGACGCUGAGGGUCCUGGCUGAGUGCAGCCUCCUGGCCGUUCCCCAAAGCACUGGGCCUCUGAAUGAGCCAUGCUUGGUGUCUCACCCCAUUUAAGCCCCCCUGUGACGACGCCACACAGUCACAUCAAGCACAGCAGAAGGACCACACACUCAACCCAUGGUAGGGAAGAAGAAUAAACUGCUGUUUUAAGCCACUAAGUUUUGAGGUGGCUUACUUCACAGCAAGAAAAAAUGGAGACUAUUACAGAUGAAACAAAGUCAAGCCUAGGGCCAAGUCGAGCAUCAUGGCCAGCACAAUCACAGUCAGCCUAACUAUCCUGCCUGUUCAUGCUGGCUUAGGACAUGUGACAGUUCCAACCCCCAGCAAGGGGCGGGUAAGUUCCUGGGUCAAACAAAAGGUGAGGUCAGGUCAGCAGGGGUCUAGGCAGGUAGCUCUCAUGAGGGUAACGGAUUUCCUCCACCCACCAGGAUUCCGGCAGGCACAAAGGCCCAGGGCAUGAUCCCGCUGGGUAAGGAGUUUCAGGGGAGACCUCCAGAGGCCCAGCCUCCCUGGUCUUGGGAGGCCCCCACAGCAAGGGAGGGCCCUCUCUCAUGCCCAGUGCCUAAGAAGCAAGGGUCAAUUCCUAAGAGUUCUCAGUGGCCACUGCAGAGAGCAAGGCAGAGGCAGGGUGCCUGGAGUGUGUGUGAGAUUCCUCCAUGGUCAGCACCAUCCUUUUUCUCUAACUGAGCAGCCUUCAAGAGUUGAGCCACAGGAAGCUUCAGGGCUGCCUCUGUCCUCCCUGGCCCCAGCAGGGAGUAGGGAAGACUCUGGCCUGACGGGGAGGAAAGGGCAGCAGCUUCUC
rnacentral:lncRNA from 10 species